AUUGAACGCUGGCGGCAGGACUAACACAUGCAAGUCGAGCGAGCGGCGGCCGGGUGAGUAAUGUCUGGGAAACUGCCUGAUGGAGGGGGAUAACUACUGGAAACGGUAGCUAAUACCGCAUACCAUCAGAUGUGCCCAUAUGGGAUUAGCUAGUAGGUGGGGUAACGGCUCACCUGGGCUACUAUCCCUAGCUGGUCUGAGAGGAUGACCAGACAAAAGGGAACUGAGACACGUGCAGGACCCAUACGGGAGGCAGUAGUGGUGAAUAUUGCACAAUGGGCUCAAGCCUGAUGCAGCCAUGACGCGUGUGUGAAGAAGGCGUUCGGGUUGUAAAGAACUUUUAGCGGGGAGGCGGUACCCGCAGAAGAAGCACCGGCUAACUCCGUGCCAGCAGCCGCGGUAAUUC
rnacentral:rRNA from 1 species